CCUACGGGAGGCAGCAGUAGGGAAUCUUCCGCAAUGGGCGAAAGCCUGACGGAGCAACGCCGCGUGAGUGAUGAAGGUCUUCGGGUUGUAAAACUCUGUCUUCUGUGAAGAACCAUCCUGUGCAGAGAAAGCUCAGGACCUGACGGUAACAGAGGAGGAAGCCCCGGCUAACUACGUGCCAGCAGCCGCGGUAAUACGUAGGGGGCAAGCGUUGUCCGGAAUCACUGGGCGUAAAGCGCGCGCAGGCGGUCUUUCACGUCCGGGGUGAAAGCCCAGAGCUCAACUCUGGGAUUGCCUUGGAUACGGGGAGACUUGAGGAUCGGAGAGGCAAGGGGAAUUCCACGUGUAGCGGUGAAAUGCGUAGAGAUGUGGAGGAACACCUGUGGCGAAGGCGCCUUGCUGGCCGAUUUCUGACGCUGAGGCGCGAAAGCGUGGGGAGCAAACAGGAUUAGAUACCCUGGUAGUCCACGCCGUAAACGAUGAGUGCUAGGUGUUAGGGGGCCCACCCCUUAGUGCCGAAGCUAACGCAUUAAGCACUCCGCCUGGGGAAGUACGGUCGCGAAGACUUGAAACUCAAAGNGAAGUUGGACGGCGNGAGAGCGACGACGGACGACGACGGAGGGAGGAGG
rnacentral:rRNA from 1 species